AACGCACAUUGCGCCCCUUGGUAUUCCGGGGGGCAUACCUGUUCGAGCGUCAUUACAGACCAUCAAGCUCAGGCUUGGAUUUUGGCCUUCGUCCCUGUUUCCAGAGGACGAGCCCUAAAAACAUCGGCGGUGGCCCCGAGCCCUCAAGCGUAGUAGAAUUUUAUCCCGCUUUGAGAAGGCCUUCGGGCGUCGCUCGCUUCCAGCAACCCCAAAUUUCUUAAGGUUGACCUCGGAUCAGGUAAGGAUACCCGCUGAACUUAA
rnacentral:misc_RNA from 1 species